CCUCAGCAGAUCCUCCCACCUCCCCUGGAUGAAACACAACUUCCUGUUUUAUUUUGUGAUGUCACUUCCUUUAGCUCUGAAGUGUGUUCCAUUAGCAGCUCUUUUUGGACCAAAGCCUUGGACUGGAAGGAACUGGACUCUGGACCUGUGUGUGACCCUGUCUGUGUGAGCUGGGAGGAAGAGCCACAAAGACGACGAGCGGCUCCACAGUCUGUGCUGCUGCUGCCCCUCCAGGAGUCUGUCUGCACACAUGUGAGGAGGAUCUGCAUAAAGACACACUCACAUCAGCGAGUGAG
rnacentral:lncRNA from 1 species